rnacentral:rRNA from 1 species
GGGUUGUGAGGUUAAGCGACUAAGCGUACACGGUGGAUGCCCUGGCAGUCAGAGGCGAUGAAGGACGUGCUAAUCUGCGAUAAGCGUCGGUAAGGUGAUAUGAACCGUUAUAACCGGCGAUUUCCGAAUGGGGAAACCCAGUGUGAUUCGUCACACUAUCAUUAACUGAAUCCAUAGGUUAAUGAGGCGAACCGGGGGAACUGAAACAUCUAAGUACCCCGAGGAAAAGAAAUCAACCGAGAUUCCCCCAGUAGCGGCGAGCGAACGGGGAGCAGCCCAGAGCCUGAAUCAGUGUGUGUGUUAGUGGAAGCGUCUGGAAAGGCGCGCGAUACAGGGUGACAGCCCCGUACACAAAAAUGCACAUGCUGUGAGCUCGAUGAGUAGGGCGGGACACGUGGUAUCCUGUCUGAAUAUGGGGGGACCAUCCUCCAAGGCUAAAUACUCCUGACUGACCGAUAGUGAACCAGUACCGUGAGGGAAAGGCGAAAAGAACCCCGGCGAGGGGAGUGAAAAAGAACCUGAAACCGUGUACGUACAAGCAGUGGGAGCACGCUUAGGCGUGUGACUGCGUACCUUUUGUAUAAUGGGUCAGCGACUUAUAUUCUGUAGCAAGGUUAACCGAAUAGGGGAGCCGAAGGGAAACCGAGUCUUAACUGGGCGUUAAGUUGCAGGGUAUAGACCCGAAACCCGGUGAUCUAGCCAUGGGCAGGUUGAAGGUUGGGUAACACUAACUGGAGGACCGAACCGACUAAUGUUGAAAAAUUAGCGGAUGACUUGUGGCUGGGGGUGAAAGGCCAAUCAAACCGGGAGAUAGCUGGUUCUCCCCGAAAGCUAUUUAGGUAGCGCCUCGUGAAUUCAUCUCCGGGGGUAGAGCACUGUUUCGGCAAGGGGGUCAUCCCGACUUACCAACCCGAUGCAAACUGCGAAUACCGGAGAAUGUUAUCACGGGAGACACACGGCGGGUGCUAACGUCCGUCGUGAAGAGGGAAACAACCCAGACCGCCAGCUAAGGUCCCAAAGUCAUGGUUAAGUGGGAAACGAUGUGGGAAGGCCCAGACAGCCAGGAUGUUGGCUUAGAAGCAGCCAUCAUUUAAAGAAAGCGUAAUAGCUCACUGGUCGAGUCGGCCUGCGCGGAAGAUGUAACGGGGCUAAACCAUGCACCGAAGCUGCGGCAGCGACACUAUGUGUUGUUGGGUAGGGGAGCGUUCUGUAAGCCUGUGAAGGUGUGCUGUGAGGCAUGCUGGAGGUAUCAGAAGUGCGAAUGCUGACAUAAGUAACGAUAAAGCGGGUGAAAAGCCCGCUCGCCGGAAGACCAAGGGUUCCUGUCCAACGUUAAUCGGGGCAGGGUGAGUCGACCCCUAAGGCGAGGCCGAAAGGCGUAGUCGAUGGGAAACAGGUUAAUAUUCCUGUACUUGGUGUUACUGCGAAGGGGGGACGGAGAAGGCUAUGUUGGCCGGGCGACGGUUGUCCCGGUUUAAGCGUGUAGGCUGGUUUUCCAGGCAAAUCCGGAAAAUCAAGGCUGAGGCGUGAUGACGAGGCACUACGGUGCUGAAGCAACAAAUGCCCUGCUUCCAGGAAAAGCCUCUAAGCAUCAGGUAACAUCAAAUCGUACCCCAAACCGACACAGGUGGUCAGGUAGAGAAUACCAAGGCGCUUGAGAGAACUCGGGUGAAGGAACUAGGCAAAAUGGUGCCGUAACUUCGGGAGAAGGCACGCUGAUAUGUAGGUGAAGUCCCUCGCGGAUGGAGCUGAAAUCAGUCGAAGAUACCAGCUGGCUGCAACUGUUUAUUAAAAACACAGCACUGUGCAAACACGAAAGUGGACGUAUACGGUGUGACGCCUGCCCGGUGCCGGAAGGUUAAUUGAUGGGGUUAGCCGCAAGGCGAAGCUCUUGAUCGAAGCCCCGGUAAACGGCGGCCGUAACUAUAACGGUCCUAAGGUAGCGAAAUUCCUUGUCGGGUAAGUUCCGACCUGCACGAAUGGCGUAAUGAUGGCCAGGCUGUCUCCACCCGAGACUCAGUGAAAUUGAACUCGCUGUGAAGAUGCAGUGUACCCGCGGCAAGACGGAAAGACCCCGUGAACCUUUACUAUAGCUUGACACUGAACAUUGAGCCUUGAUGUGUAGGAUAGGUGGGAGGCUUUGAAGUGUGGACGCCAGUCUGCAUGGAGCCGACCUUGAAAUACCACCCUUUAAUGUUUGAUGUUCUAACGUUGACCCGUAAUCCGGGUUGCGGACAGUGUCUGGUGGGUAGUUUGACUGGGGCGGUCUCCUCCUAAAGAGUAACGGAGGAGCACGAAGGUUGGCUAAUCCUGGUCGGACAUCAGGAGGUUAGUGCAAUGGCAUAAGCCAGCUUGACUGCGAGCGUGACGGCGCGAGCAGGUGCGAAAGCAGGUCAUAGUGAUCCGGUGGUUCUGAAUGGAAGGGCCAUCGCUCAACGGAUAAAAGGUACUCCGGGGAUAACAGGCUGAUACCGCCCAAGAGUUCAUAUCGACGGCGGUGUUUGGCACCUCGAUGUCGGCUCAUCACAUCCUGGGGCUGAAGUAGGUCCCAAGGGUAUGGCUGUUCGCCAUUUAAAGUGGUACGCGAGCUGGGUUUAGAACGUCGUGAGACAGUUCGGUCCCUAUCUGCCGUGGGCGCUGGAGAACUGAGGGGGGCUGCUCCUAGUACGAGAGGACCGGAGUGGACGCAUCACUGGUGUUCGGGUUGUCAUGCCAAUGGCACUGCCCGGUAGCUAAAUGCGGAAGAGAUAAGUGCUGAAAGCAUCUAAGCACGAAACUUGCCCCGAGAUGAGUUCUCCCUGACCCUUUAAGGGUCCUGAAGGAACGUUGAAGACGACGACGUUGAUAGGCCGGGUGUGUAAGCGCAGCGAUGCGUUGAGCUAACCGGUACUAAUGAACCGUGAGGCUUAACCUUACAACGCCGAAG